rnacentral:misc_RNA from 1 species
GAAAUGCGAUAAGUAAUGUGAAUUGCAGAAUUCAGUGAAUCAUCGAAUCUUUGAACGCACCUUGCGCUCCUUGGUAUUCCUUGGAGCAUGCCUGUUUGAGUAUCAUGAAAUCUUCAAAGUAAAUCUUUUGUUAACUCAAUUGGUUUCUACUUUGGUAUUGGAGGUCUUUGCAGCUUCACACCUGCUCCUCUUUGUUCAUUAGCUGGAUCUCAGUGUUAUGCUUGGUUCCACUCGGCGUGAUAAGUUAUCUAUCGCUGAGGACACUGUAAAAGGUGGCCAAGGUAAAUGCAGAUGAACCGCUUCUAAUAGUCCAUUGACUUGGACAACACUUUUAUGAUCUGAUCUCAAAUCAGGUAGGACUACCCGCUGAACUUAAGC